UGUCAUUAUCAUUAUUUUAAAAAAAAAAUAGAAAACAAAGAAGGGAAAGUGAUACUUUGUUUACCACCGAGUCAACGACAACUUUGUUCACUCCGCCCAGCCAUUUCCACAAUCAACUCACCAUCUUCAACUCCCAUUUUUUCCAUGAUUCCAUCAUUUUAAUUUCAAUAUCAAUAUCAUCCCGGCUUCAUAAAACAACAGAUGUACAACUUAUACCCAAAUCAAUGCCAAAAUAGGAGAGAGAAAGUAGCUCAGAUCAACAACAAUGGUGGAAAUAGCUGCGUCGUCUUUCAUGUUUAGAUCUAUGCACGCAUACAUGACGAUCGAUGUUCCAGGCUUCACACAAAACAGUUCAAGCCCAAUUUGACUGAAGACCAAUGAUUCUUUGAAUUUUGAAUAAAUGACGGCUUUGGAAAGAGCGAGAGGUGACGCAAUCAGAACAAUCGUCGGGUGGAGAUGCAAGAAUUAACGCUUCCAUUUCUGCAUGCAUCCAAACUGCUUUUCUGGUAUAUUAUUCAUAAUCUUCAGUAAUCUUUGUUUUUAUAAUUCUAAUGUUUUAUUUGCCAAUUUUUCUGAAUUUUGUUGUAAAUUGUUUCAGUCAUGUUUUUUUAACCAAUUUCCAAACAAUUAUUUAUUUGCAUGAUGGAUUGCCACAUUAAAAUUCAAUGACGUGAA